UGAGCACCAGCGCCCAGAGGGUGGUGCUUCGAUCUCAGUACAAACAGCCACAUACCGAGCUGACAAUGGUGGACAGUGUUCCUAUGGAGGUCGUCCGGGUCUCUUUGUUCUUUAAGCAAAAGCUGACAGUGGUGAUGAUCGAUAUGUCCAUGGCCUGUACAGUCAAUUCAGGUUCUUUUGACGGUGCCCGGUUGCUCUGGGAUGUCCCCUGGGUUGUGACCCCCUUGGUCAGAGAGGAGGCAGGGU